GACAUAACCACCUCCGAGCAAACUAAGCAGCCGCCAUUUAAUUUGGCAACAAAAGUUUGUCUGCAUAACACCGACCUUGGAAAUUGUCAAAAGAGCAAAAGAUAUCCCACUUGUGUUUGGAUCAAAUAAGAAAGAAUAGCGCUAUUGAAAGGCAGUCGCUGAUAAUGUUAGCAGCAAUCAGCGCCUUGGAGCAGAAAGUGCAAACGCUGACCGAGAAAAAUCAAGCGCUGGAGCGCAGGUUUACGCAGAAUACUACAAGUUAAAGGGAAUGCAAAAGCAGCUCGCCGAGGAGAGUGAAUUAUCUUAGGCAAAAGUUUCGGUGGCAGCGAAUUUUAUUUGCGCGAAUCCACAAAUGUGGUGCGGUCGAUGUACCUGAGUUUAUCUCCCGCAGGCGCGCCAUACUGAAUGUGUACAUUGCCACCGAAACAGCAGCCUAAAACUUUGCAAAGUAAUCGCAGCUCUUGGCAGAGCAAAUAUGCGGCACUUAAAAAACAAUAGUGGUAUUAAGCGAACUGAGAAAGUGGCCUGGCACUCUGACAACAGUCGUUGCUUGAGCUGGUCUGCUCUUUUGCCAGGCCACUUGCUCACAUUGGUGAAUACCACUAAUGUAAUUAAGUAUAAGGAAGCGCGCGAGGCUGAACUGAACGAUGUCAAGGAACAGCAACGCGAUAUGUUUUACAUACAUAUGUUCAUAUGUAUAUGCAGACGCAGGGCAAAGUUGUUGAAAGGCAAAAUUGUUGGUGGCAGUGGCAGUGUUGAACAGAUGCGGCUAACACUUCCGACAGGCAAAGCGGGCAGGCGCAAGAAAAAAAGCAUACAUAUACAUAUGUAUGAGCGGAAAUAAAAUAAAUGCUAUUAUCAUGUUAGAUAAUAUUUUAGAAUCAAAUAAAAACCUUUUUUAUGUGAUUGGAGACAUAAACGUA